rnacentral:lncRNA from 1 species
CUCCCCUUCACCUCUGACCGGCAGGUCCAUCUCUCUCUCUGUUUGAAAGUGGAACAACAAAUCCUCCUGGUGAUUUGGUUUGGUGUUCAAGAGGAGGCAGAUCUAGAUUUACAUUUGUUUUCUCAUAGUGUUCCAGGCGUAUAACCAUAUAUUGUUGUGAAUUUUAGGUUGCUGCCAUGGAACCAUGUUGACCUGAGCUAUGUGCCACCAUGGUAUCCUGCUCUUUUGUUUGUUUGAUCCAAUUGGUAUCGGUUCGAGUGUGUGAUGGAAUGGAGAUGAAAGAUCGUGACGACACUGACGGUGCACCGCGUCCACAGGUCAGUGGUGCCGCCUCUGGUUUCUUCCCCAUCAAUCCCAGACAUCGCUUGUA